rnacentral:tRNA from 1 species
GCGGAUGUAGCCAAGAAGGCGGUGGAUUGUGAAUCCACUAUGCGCGGGUUCAAUUCCCGUCGUUCACC